rnacentral:rRNA from 1 species
GAUGAACGCUGGCGGCGUGCUUAACACAUGCAAGUCGAACGGGACUAUUUUGGAAUUCAGCUUCGGCUGGAGGAAGAUUUAGUUUAGUGGCGGACGGGUGAGUAACGCGUGAGCAAUCUGCCCUUCGGAGGGGGACAACAGCUGGAAACGGCUGCUAAUACCGCAUAUAAUGCACGGGUCGCAUGGCCUGUGUAUGAAAGAUUUAUCGCCGAAGGAUGAGCUCGCGUCUGAUUAGCUAGUUGGCGGGGUAACGGCCCACCAAGGCUUCGAUCAGUAGCCGGACUGAGAGGUUGAACGGCCACAUUGGGACUGAGAUACGGCCCAGACUCCUACGGGAGGCAGCAGUGGGGAAUAUUGGGCAAUGGGCGCAAGCCUGACCCAGCAACGCCGCGUGAAGGAAGAAGGCUUUCGGGUUGUAAAGCACUUUCAGCGAGGAGGAAGGCCAAUAACUUAAUACGUUGUUGGAUUGACGUUACUCGCAGAAGAAGCACCGGCUAACUCCGUGCCAGCCGCCGCCGUAAAAC